rnacentral:rRNA from 1 species
GACGAACGCUGGCGGCGUGCCUAAUACAUGCAAGUAGAACGCUGAAGGAGGAGCUUGCUUCUCCGGAUGAGUUGCGAACGGGUGAGUAACGCGUAGGUAACCUGCCUGGUAGCGGGGGAUAACUAUUGGAAACGAUAGCUAAUACCGCAUAAGAGUAGAUGUCGCAUGACAUUUGCUUAAAAGGUGCAACUGCACCACUACCAGAUGGACCUGCGUUGUAUUAGCUAGUUGGUGAGGUAACGGCUCACCAAGGCAACGAUACAUAGCCGACCUGAGAGGGUGAUAGGCCACACUGGGACUGAGACACGGCCCAGACUCCUACGGGAGGCAGCAGUAGGGAAUCUUCGGCAAUGGACGGAAGUCUGACCGAGCAACGCCGCGUGAGUGAAGAAGGUUUUCGGAUCGUAAAGCUCUGUUGUAAGAGAAGAACGAGUGUGAGAGUGGAAAGUUCACACUGUGACGGUAUCUUACCAGAAAGGGACGGCUAACUACGUG